AGCGAACGCUGGCGGCAGGCUUAACACAUGCAAGUCGAGCGGGCAUCCUUGUGGUGUCAGCGGCAGACGGGUGAGUAACGCGUGGGAACGUGCCCUUCGGUUCGGAAUAACUCAGGGAAACUUGAGCUAAUACCGGAUACGUGCGGGAGCAGAAAGGUUUAUCUGCCGAAGGAUCGGCCCGCGUCUGAUUAGCUAGUUGGUGAGGUUAUGGCUCACCAAGGCGACGAUCAGUAGCUGGUCUGAGAGGAUGAUCAGCCACACUGGGACUGAGACACGGCCCAGACUCCUACGGGAGGCAGCAGUGGGGAAUAUUGGUCAAUGGGGGCAACCCUGAUCCAGCCAUGCCGCGUGAGUGAUGACGGCCUUAGGGUUGUAAAGCUCUUUUCUUCGGGACGAUAAUGACGGUACCGGAGGAAUAAGCCCCGGCUAACUUCGUG
rnacentral:rRNA from 1 species